rnacentral:rRNA from 1 species
UACGUAGGGUGCAAGCAUUAAUCGGAUUUAUUGGGCGUAAAGGGCGCGUAGGCGGAGAGAUAAGUCGUAUGUGAAAUCCCAAGGCUCAACCUUGGAACAGCAUAUGAAACUAUCUAUCUAGAGGGUAGGCGGAGAAAAUGGAAUUCCACAAGUAGCGGUGAAAUGCGUAGAUAUGUGGAAGAACACCUGUGGCGAAAGCGGUUUUCUAGCUUAUACCUGACGCUGAGGCGCGAAAGUUAGGGGAGCAAACAGG